rnacentral:rRNA from 1 species
UGGUGUACCAGUUGUCUUGCCAAAGGCAUCGCUGGGUAGCUAUGUGCGGACGGGAUAAGUGCUGAAAGCAUCUAAGCAUGAAGCCCCCCUCAAGAUGAGAUUUCCCAUAGCGCAAGCUAGUAAGAUCCCUGAAAGAUGAUCAGGUUGAUAGGUCAGAGGUGGAAGCGUGGCGACAUGUGGAGCUGACUGAUACUAAUCGAUCGAGGACUUAACCACAA